AUGGUUCGAUGUAUGAGCAUUCAGUCGAACCCACUGAAUGCUCGUUCCAAGCGGGCUGUGGUCUCCACCAGGCAAAUCGAGGGGGCUUCGAACUGUUCUCCGAGGAGACCCGCUGGUGCUUGUCGGUGGACCACGGUUCUCCUCCAGGGCCUUCAGUCUUCGGGCUCGGUCCCUCCUCCAGGCUUCUCCGGCCAGGGCGAACUCCGGAGGAGGCGCAGCUACUACCCCACUGUGGGCACCCCUGACCCCCUGGGUUGCAGACGCAGGGCAGUAGGGACAGCGAGGGGGAUCGGGGGAGAUGGGCGUCUGGGGAGAGGGCGGAGGAGAGAGUCGGAGGGAGUCCAGGGCAUCGGUGCCGACGGUGCCGACUCUGCACCUGUGUCCAGCCCCUCGGCGCCUGCGCACCCUUCCUGGGGCCCCGAGCCCCGCCAAAGGUCGCCGUCGGGUCCCGCUCCACCGAGAGCUCCCGCUACUAGCGCGCAGCCCGGCAGGGAGACCCCGCUGGGGUUCUGCUGGGCGACGCGCGCCAAGCGGUGGCGGGAAGGAGGCGGGAGGAGUGGGGCCCGGACCCCGACUCGGGCAGAGCCAGCUGGGGAGGCGGAGCGCGCGUGGGAGCCCGGGGCCGGGGUGGCCGGCCCUCCUCCCGCCACGGCUGAGUGCCCGCGCUGCCUUCCCGCCGGUCCGCUGCGAAAGGCGCUAAGCCCGCGGCGGUCCCUUUGCCGCCGCCUCCCCGCCCGGCGCCCAUAUAACCCGCCGUCCUGCAGCCCGCCCCGCAGCCCAGAGAGGAGGCAGCGCGGUGCAGCCCAGUCCUCUGCGACGCCCGGCCAGCCCCAGGUAGGCAGAGCUGGGACCGGUGCAAGGGGCAGGGAUCCCUCACGCGGCUCUGAAGCUGGGAUUGGGGUGAGCGGCAGCCGGGGUGCUAGCCGUGGGAACUGCCCCAGGGACCUUGCAUCAGUGGCAGGAGGGGCCGGAGUGCGGCUACUAGUAGAUUCCAGUUGGUGUCUCGGCAACCUGUGGGCCUGUUUCCUGCCCACCCUGUCCACCACAGGUAGCAGGCGGUCACCGUCCCGGGAGACGGCUUAG
rnacentral:lncRNA from 1 species